rnacentral:snoRNA from 1 species
AAGACUAGAAUCAUAUCCUGACUCAACAUUUGCCCUGAUGGGCUCAAGUGCUCAAAGAGAAUUUGCUGGUAUUAGCUUUCUGGGUUUUACUCAAAUCAUAAAUAUAC